rnacentral:snRNA from 1 species
AAUCGCAGAAAGAGCGCGUUGAG